GCGUCUGAGUGGGAGUUGCAAGUUAGUCCUGCCGCCUAUCCGCCAUCUUCAAACCCACAAUUUUUUUUUUUUUUUUUAGUUGUAGCCUUUAAAUACAUCUUAAUUAACUGAAAAGCCCUUGAAAAAGCAAGAAAAAGUCAAAGAAAGUAUUUCAAGAUAAAGGUCUCUUCACUGAUAAUUUGGGAACAACUGACUUUCCUCUAGAGGAUUUGAACUGGAGGAGGCUUGAAGUUGAACAAUGGAACUCUCAGUACCAACUUCCCUUUACAGUCUGAUCUCAGAAAUCUGACAGCCAGUUGUAUUCCCCCAGACCCUCUACCUUCACCUGUACUGAGGUUGUCCCACAUGGCAGUUUCAGGCGCAAUUCUUCUGGAGAUGACAAAGGGCAGGAAGGUGCUUCAGAUUCAUGUUUCCAUGUGAUGUUUUUCUUCCAUCUGAAAAACUACUAGAAUUCAGCAAGCAUCUUCAGUCAUGGAAGGACAUUUUGCAAUAUUUGUUGCUGUCAUCAUCAUAAAGAUUACAAAUGAUCUAUUUCCCUGCCACUCAGUGUGUAUCUUCUAGGAUCAAACAUCAAACCAAAGAUGGCAGAAAUGCAUUCAGAGCCUCAUUUUAUGACUUUACUUUGCUUAUUGCAUUUCUUUUCUUGGAAAUGUAAUUGCUUUAGAAUUACUGGGAUCAUGGGAAAAGCAUGCCAUCAAGAAAGUAAGCGAUUGAGUGGGGGAAAAGUAAUAAAGUCAAUUUAUUUAAGU
rnacentral:lncRNA from 1 species